CCUACGGGUGGCAGCAGUGGGGAAUAUUGGACAAUGGGGGGAACCCUGAUCCAGCCAUGCCGCGUGUGGGAAGAAGGCCCUCGGGUUGUAAAGCACUUUCAGUGAGGAAGAACGCCUGGUGGUUAAUACCCAUCAGGAAAGACAUCACUCACAGAAGAAGCACCGGCUAACUCCGUGCCAGCAGCCGCGGUAAUACGGAGGGUGCGAGCGUUAAUCGGAAUUACUGGGCGUAAAGCGCGCGUAGGUGGCUUGAUAAGCCGGUUGUGAAAGCCCCGGGCUCAACCUGGGAACGGCAUCCGGAACUGUCAAGCUAGAGUGCAGGAGAGGAAGGUAGAAUUCCCGGUGUAGCGGUGAAAUGCGUAGAGAUCGGGAGGAAUACCAGUGGCGAAGGCGGCCUUCUGGACUGACACUGACACUGAGGUGCGAAAGCGUGGGUAGCAAACAGGAUUAGAUACCCGAGUAGUC
rnacentral:rRNA from 1 species